rnacentral:misc_RNA from 1 species
AUGAUCUGUCCAGUGGUGAAA